rnacentral:rRNA from 1 species
AUACGGAGGGUGCAAGCGUUAAUUGGAAUUACUGGGCGUAAAGCGCGCGUAGGCGGCUUGUUAAGCGAGAUGUGAAAGCCCUGGGCUUAACCUGGGAACUGCAUUUCGAACUGGCAGGCUAGAGUGUAGAAGAGGGGUGUGGAAUUUCCGGUAUAGCGGUGAAAUGCGUAGAGAUCGGAAGGAACACCAGUGGCGAAGGCGACACCCUGGUCUAACACUGACGCUGAGGUGCGAAAGCGUGGGUAGCGAACAGGAUUAGAUACCCUGGUAGUCCACGCCGUAAACGAUGUCUACUAGCCGUUGGGGGGCUUGACCCUUUAGUGGCGCAGCUAACGCACUAAGUAGACCGCCUGGGGAGUACGGCCGCAAGGUUAAA